rnacentral:rRNA from 1 species
GACGAACGCUGGCGGCGUGCCUAAUACAUGCAAGUCGAACGCAGUUGCGCACGGGUGAGUAACGCGUAGGUAACUGCCUCAUAGCGGGGGAUAACUAUUGGAAACGAUAGCUAAUACCGCCUACUGUGAGAUGGACCUGCUUGGUAUUAGCUAGUUGGUGAGGUAAAGGCUCACCAAGGCGACGAUACAUAGCCGACCUGUGAGGAUGAUCGGCCACACUGGAACUGAGACACGGUCCAGACUCCUACGGGAGGCAGCAGUGGGGAAUAUUCGACAAUGGACGAAAGUCUGAUCGAGCAACGCCGCGUGAGUGAAGAAGGUGUUCGGAUCGUAAAGCUCUGUUGUUAGAGAAGCGGUAUCUAACCAGAAAGCCACGGCUAACUACGUGCCAGCCGCCGCGGUAAUUC